rnacentral:rRNA from 1 species
AUGCUUAUUAAAAAUCUGAGAUAUGAAGCGUACUGGGAGAGAGAGGUUGGGGCGCUGAAUGAUCAAAUUGAAUUGGUUUGGAAUAAAAGUACGCAUGUCAGUGACCUGGGAGAUGUGGCAAAUAAGUUGGACAGUCUUAUGAAGUCUCUUCAUGGGUGGAGUAAGGAACAUAUUGGUUAUUUGCCCAAAAAGCUUGAAACGGCGCGAAAGAGAUUAAAUUUGCUUUUCAAAAGAAAUGACCAUACUGCUGUUAUGAAAAGGAAGAAAAUCCUGGCUGAGAUGGAUGAACUUUUGAUUAAGGAAGAAAUCAUGUGGAAGCAGAGAUCUUGUUUGGACAAAAUGAAAUGGGGUGAUAGGAAUACAAAAUUCUUUCAGCAAAAGGCCACAUGGAGAGCUAAGAAGAAUAAUAUCUCGGCCCUUAAAAGGAGCGACGGUUCCCUCUCUCAUGAUGUGGACGAGAUGAAAGGUAUCACAAACUCUUUUUUUAAGAAUCUCUACUCUUGUGACAAGACAGUAAACCCUUCUUAUAUUAUCUCUCUUGUGAAACCUCUGGUGAAUGAUGAGAUGAAUGAGGAUCUUUGUAAGCCUUUUUCUGAAUAA